rnacentral:misc_RNA from 1 species
CCCUUGUGGAGGAGGACGCCGAAGGUGGGGCUAAUGACUGGGGUGAAGUCGUAACAAGGUAGCCGUACCGGAAGGUGCGGCUGGAUCACCUCCUAACAGGGAGACAACAAAAUGUUAAAUAUUAAUUUUGUCACCUUAGGUCGAUCGGUAUCUCACAUUCUUAAUCAAUUUAAGAAUUUUAUUUCCUAAGUUUUUCUAGGUCACACCCAUCAUUUUUCCUGGGCCAUUAGCUCAGGUGGUUAGAGCGCACCCCUGAUAAGGGUGAGGUCCCUGGUUCAAGUCCAGGAUGGCCCAUAUCUCUAUGUUGGGGGUAUAGCUCAGUUGGUAGAGCGCCUGCUUUGCAAGCAGGAUGUCAGCGGUUCGAGUCCGCUUACCUCCACUGAUUACCACCUCUUCCAUAAGUUUUAGAAGGGAAAUUUUGAGUUGUGAUCUAAUUCUGAACGAAUCUAGCUUCCUAAUUAAACUUAAUUAAGAUGCUGGACUCAUUGAAUUAAUUUCAUUGUUUUCAGAGAACCUUGACAACUGCAUAGAUUAUUUUUAAAGACAAUAAGCAUCUUUAAUGAUGCAGAUUUAUUAUUUGUGCGAAUGCAUUAAUAACAAUUCUAUUAAGCUGAUGCUUCAUUUUUGAAGUUAUUGGUCAAGCUACAAAGGGCUCACGGAGG